rnacentral:rRNA from 1 species
CCCCAGUAAACGGCGGCCGUAACUAUAACGGUCCUAAGGUAGCGAAAUUCCUUGUCGGGUAAGUUCCGACCCGCACGAAAGGCGUAACGAUUUGGGCACUGUCUCAACAACAGACUCGGUGAAAUUGUAAUUCCGGUGAAGAUGCCGGAUACCUGCGACAGGACGGAAAGACCCCAUGGAGCUUUACUGUAGCUUGACAUUGGGUCUUGGUACUACAUGUACAGGAUAGGUGGGAGGCUUUGAAACCAGGACGCCAGUUUUGGCGGAGCCAUCCUUGGGAUACCACCCUUGUAGUACUGGGACUCUAACCAUAGGCCAUGAAUCUGGUCUUGGGACACUGUCAGGUGGGCAGUUUGACUGGGGCGGUCGCCUCCCAAAAGGUAACGGAGGCGCUCAAAGGUUCUCUCAGUACGGUCGGAAAUCGUACGUAGAGUGUAAAGGCAAAAGAGAGCUUGAUUGCAAGACAUACAGGUCGAGCAAGGAUGAAAAUCGGACUUAGUGAUCCGGUGGUUCUGCGUGGAAGGGCCAUCGCUCAACGGAUAAAAGCUACCCUGGGGAUAACAGGCUUAUCUCCCCCAAGAGUCCACAUCGACGGGGAGGUUUGGCACCUCGAUGUCGGCUCAUCACAUCCUGGGGCUGUAGUAGGUCCCAAGGGUUGGGCUGUUCGCCCAUUAAAGUGGUACGCGAGCUGGGUUCAGAACGUCGUGAGACAGUUCGGUCCCUAUCCGUCGCAGGCGUAGGAAAUUUGAGAAGACCUGU